rnacentral:rRNA from 1 species
AGUGAACGCUGGCGGUAGGCCUAACACAUGCAAGUCGAACGGCAGCACAGUAAGAGCUUGCUCUUACGGGUGGCGAGUGGCGGACGGGUGAGGAAUACAUCGGAAUCUACUUUUUCGUGGGGGAUAACGUAGGGAAACUUACGCUAAUACCGCAUACGACCUACGGGUGAAAGCAGGGGAUCUUCGGACCUUGCGCGAUUGAAUGAGCCGAUGUCGGAUUAGCUAGUUGGCGGGGUAAAGGCCCACCAAGGCGACGAUCCGUAGCUGGUAUGAGAGGAUGAUCAGCCACACUGGAUCUGAGACACGGCCCAGACUCCUACGGGAGGCAGCAGUGGGGAAUAUUGGACAAUGGGCGCAAGCCUGAUCCAGCCAUACCGCGUGGGUGAAGAAGGCCUUCGGGUUGUAAAGCCCUUUUGUUGGGAAAGAAAAGCAGCAGGUUAAUACCCCGCUGUUCUGACGGUACCCAAAGAAUAAGCACCGGCUAACUUCGUG